GAAUAGUUAUCUUUUGGACUCAUGUUAAUUCGUUUUCGUGUUGGACUUGAAAUUUUAAGCCCUGCGUUAGGGCUUAUUGGAAUGACAUACAGAACAUGCAUUUUCCUAUUGGAUAUAUUGAACAUUUGCACUUGUUAACUUGUCUUUUUGUUACACUUAGCAGUGACAUAUAAAUCGCAAUCAGUGAUAUUUUUUAUUAUUGAAAGAGCUGCUUCCUCACAAUAUUCAUUUUAGAGAUCAAC